GAGCUGCCAGCUCAGAGCCCAAAGCUGGGCCAGGGGGGCAUUGCUGCAGGUGCCAGCACAGAACCAUGCAGGUGUGUGCCCUCGCCCUGCGCGAUCCCCUCACCACUCCUGCGGCUCAGGCAUGGCAGCUCUUUGGAAACAGGAGAGCCCUGAUCCUGCCAUGAAAGCCAAGACAUUUUCUGAAACCUAUCCCCAUGUUUAACACGCAUGAAUCCUGAAGAUGCCGGCACCCAAAUCAGGAAGUCUUCCAUCUAAUCCAACUGUCCUUUUUCCUGUCUGAAGUGAUGGGCCAAACAUCUGUGCAGAAGGAGGCACAUCCUGGAGGAAGCAUUUCCCCAUGGGUAGCCCCUGCUGCAGGAAGGAAGGCGAUGCCAGACAUGGGCACAGGCACAGCAGAUGCAGCCAGCACCACAACACGUCUUCCCCAUGCCCAGGAAGGCCUCGGAAGUGUCUUCUAUAUGGGAACAGGCUGCUGGGCAGGGUUAAUGGCAGCCCUGCUUCUGUUGGACCUUAUUCUCAUAUUGUUCUGUGUCAGAAUCUGGUGUAACUGGAAGAAGAAAUGCAGCACCUCGGGACAGGAGUUGAAAGACGGUGGCUGCACCUCACACCAGACAGCGUGAGCAGCUCCUCCAGCAGCAGGAACGGCCCGGACAGCCCUCUCAAGUGUUCUGUGAAGAGGACCCCAGAACAACCGUCGACAAGGAAACCUCUUAUUGCCCCGUAGAUCCCACUGCCACCUGCUCUCCCCAUGGGCCUCCCCAAGCUUCCUUUAUUCCUUUUUUUCUCUCCGUCUGUCCCAUCCCAGCCAACCUGAGUUCCGCUAGGGACCCCAGGACCAGCCCAGCACCUUCCCGCACCUCCUGAGACCAACACAUCCCUUCCUCUGCCCCUGAGCCCCCUGGCCUUGCCCUCUAGGCAACACUGAAGGUUGUGGAGGAUUUUGUGAACAGCUGGCUAGCUAACAAAGGUCACACUGACAUAAUACCGUUAAUUAAGCAAGAAGGAGACGAGGAUAGGAGUCAGCAGUCAGUGUCCAAACCUGGCAAGGGCACUGUGCCCUUGGUGCAACAUCAGGAUGGGGGAGAGGAUCGUUAGUUAGAAACAUGAAGAAAAUAUGUAAACAGCUGCAGCAUAGUAGCCUCAAGAAUGAUAAGGUAGGCGUAGUUAGCUGAUAAGUAACUAACCAAUAAUGAGCUCGCUUUUUGCAAUAUGUAUUAGCCUCAUUAACACCAAUAUAAAUGUAUGUGCCUAUCAAUAAAGUUUUGAGAUUUGCUGAUCACUCAUAUUGAGUGCUGCAUUUCUUCUGCCGAUUACCACAAAUGGUGACCCCGGACGUGAUAUCGGUAAUGGCAACCACGGUGGAUCGGUGAACGAGUUCGGGUCCUACAGCAGCAAGGACGGCGAAUAAGCACUGCUGAAAAAGCGAAAAGUGCCGCGCCCUGGGUGACCUUAUAGAAGAGCCCGGCCGAUACGUGCUGCCGAAACCUUGAAGGGCUGCAACAGCGCUGACCUUCUCAAAAAUGGAAAUGGAAAGGCAAGCAGCAUAUGAUUUAUUUACUUGCUUUUUAAAAAAGCGUCAGGUUAAGGGCAUAGAUUUGCAGAAAGAGCUCCCACAGUUGUUAGCCUAUGGGUAUGCACAAGGAGUUUUUCAAAAUCCUCAUACAGUGCAUGAAUUAACAGAGUGGCGUAAGCUCGGGGACAAGUUGUGGGAGGCAGCUAUAGAUGAGGAUAAAACUGCAAGGAAGUUAGGAAAGCUAUGGCGAGUCGUGCACAAUGAGUUAUUACAACAUCAGGUAGAAAAGAAAGCUGCGCAGCAAGCUAGCGUAGCAUAUGAUAAGAAUAAGAGUCAUGGGGACUGCUACGACUGUCCGUUACCCCCUACCACAUCUACAGUCGUUUUGCCACCAACAUCGGCUCCUCCUUCAAGCAGCAGCU